UCCCCGUUGCCAGGGCAGUCUGAUUAGAAAAAUACAACUAAUCACAAGGGUUGCGCUCGUUAAUGGACUUAACCAAACAUCUCACGACACGAGCUGACGACGGCCAUGCAUCAUCUGUCACUUGGUUCAAUAAAGCACUCUCGCCUUUCGGCAAAAUUCCAAGGAUGUCAAACCCUGGUAAGGUUCUUCGUUUAUCAUCGAAUUAAAGAACACGAUCCACCGCUUGUGCGGGUCCCCGUCAAUUCCUUUGAGUUUUAGCCUUGCGGCCGUAGUCCCCAGGCGGGGUGCUUACUGCGUUAGCGGCGGCACCGCGGGGGGUCGCUCCCCCAGGCACCUAGUGCCCAUCGUUUACGGCGUGGACUAC
rnacentral:misc_RNA from 1 species